rnacentral:rRNA from 1 species
AGUUUGAUCCUGGCUCAGGACGAACGCUGGCGGCGUGCCUAACACAUGCAAGUCGAGCGGAGAUAGUUUGAUGGUAACUGAUAGCUAUUUUAGCGGCGGACGGGUGAGUAACACGUGGGCAACCUGCCUCAAAGAGGGGGAUAACACCGAGAAAUCGGUGCUAAUACCGCAUAACAUACAUUGACUGCAUGGUCGAUGUAUCAAAGGAGCAAUCCGCUUUGAGAUGGGCCCGCGGCUGAUUAGCUAGUUGGUGAGGUAAUGGCUCACCAAGGCAACGAUCAGUAGCCGACCUGAGAGGGUGACCGGCCACACUGGAACUGAGACACGGUCCAGACUCCUACGGGAGGCAGCAGUGGGGAAUAUUGCGCAAUGGGGGAAACCCUGACGCAGCAACGCCGCGUGGAGGAAGAAGGUCUUCGGAUUGUAAACUCCUGUCUUCUGGGACGAAUAAUGACGGUACCAGAGGAGGAAGCCACGGCUAACUACGUGCCAGCAGCCGCGGUAAUACGUAGGUGGCGAGCGUUGUCCGGAAUUACUGGGCGUAAAGGGCGCGUAGGCGGCUCUUUAAGUCAGAUGUGAAAACCCAGGGCUUAACUCUGGGACUGCAUUUGAAACUGAAGGGCUUGAGUGCAGGAGAGGUAAGUGGAAUUCCUAGUGUAGCGGCGAAAUGCGUAGAUAUUAGGAGGAACACCAGUGGCGAAGGCGACUUACUGGACUGUAACUGACGCUGAGGCGCGAAAGCGUGGGGAGCAAACAGGAUUAGAUACCCUGGUAGUCCACGCUGUAAACGAUGGAUACUAGGUGUGGGAGGUAUCGACCCCUUCCGUGCCGCAGUAAACGCAAUAAGUAUCCCGCCUGGGGAGUACGGCCGCAAAGGUUGAAACUCAAGGAAUUUGACGGGGGCCCGCACAAGCAGCGGGAGCAUGUGGGUUUAAUUCGAAGCAACGCGAAGACCUUACCAGAACUUGACAUCAUCUGCAUUACCCGUAACUGGGGAAAUCCUUCGGGACAGAAUAGACAGGGUGGUGCAUGGUUGUCGUCAGCUCGUGUCGUGAGAUGUUGGGUUAAGGUCCCGCAACGAGCGCAACCCCUAUUGUUAGUUGCCAUCAUUAGUGGUAACUCUAUGAGACUGCCCGGAGAAAAUUCGGAGGAGUGGGGAUGACGUCAUCAUCAUGCCUAUGUUCUGGCCUACCCACGUGUGCUACAAUUGGGUUAAUACACAACCGCGGGGAGAGUCG